CUGAGCGGCGGACGGGUGAGUAACGCGUGGGUAACCUGCCUCAUACAGGGGGAUAACAGUUAGAAAUGACUGCUAAUACCGCAUAAGACCACAGGGUCGCAUGACCCGGUGGUAAAAACUCCGGUGGUAUGAGAUGGACCCGCGUCUGAUUAGCUAGUUGGUAAGGUAACGGCUUACCAAGGCGACGAUCAGUAGCCGACCUGAGAGGGUGACCGGCCACAUUGGGACUGAGACACGGCCCAAACUCCUACGGGAGGCAGCAGUGGGGAAUAUUGCACAAUGGGGGAAACCCUGACGCAGCGACGCCGCGUGAGCGAAGAAGUAUUUCGGUAUGUAAAGCUCUAUCAGCAGGGAAGAAAAUGACGGUACCUGACUAAGAAGCACCGGCUAAAUACGUGCCAGCAGCCGCGGUAAUACGUAUGGUGCAAGCGUUAUCCGGAUUUACUGGGUGUAAAGGGAGCGUAGACGGAUGGGCAAGUCUGAUGUGAAACCCGGGGCUCAACCCCGGGACUGCAUUGGAAACUGUUCAUCUAGAGUGCUGGAGAGGUAAGUGGAAUUCCUAGUGUAGCGGUGAAAUGCGUAGAUAUUAGGAGGAACACCAGUGGCGAAGGCGGCUUACUGGACAGUAACUGAC
rnacentral:rRNA from 1 species